UUUCUAGUAGUUUAUGUCAACUGCUCAAAAUUGCAUACAGUAGCAGCAAUGGUCAGGAUGGUGGCUGAUGAUGGCAGCGGCAGCCCGCCGCCAGCCUACACCGCGCAGUGUGGCCCCCGCCGCAACCUAGGACCUUGGCAAUUGGCAUCUCCUGCAUGCUCAACACCGAGGUGGCCGCGCUGCUGGCCGUGAUCCGUCGCCGUCCGGACCCCUACUCCUAUCUCCCGCCUGGCGUCA
rnacentral:lncRNA from 1 species